CGAUUGUCUUAGAAGUUGGUGUGGAAAAUGUUAUACAAGUAAUAACUGAUAAUGCUGCCAGUUAUGUUUAUGCCGGGAGGCUUCUCAUGGCCAAGUACAGCUCCUUGUUUUGGUCACCUUGUGCGUCUUACUGUAUUGAUAAGAUGCUGGAAGAUAUCAGUAAACUAGAGUGGGUGGGAACAGUCUUGGAGGAGGCAAAUACCAUCACUAGGUACAUAUAUGAUCAUUCAUGGACCGUAAAUAUGAUGAGAAAGUUCACAGGUGGAAGGGAUUUGGUCAGGCCUAGAAUCACUAGAUUUGUGAGUAAUUAUCUUUCCUUGAGG
rnacentral:misc_RNA from 1 species